GAUGAACGCUGGCGGCGUGCCUAAUACAUGCAAGUCGAGCGAACAGAUGAGGAGCUUGCUCCUCUGACGUUAGCGGCGGACGGGUGAGUAACACGUGGAUAACCUACCUAUAAGACUGGGAUAACUUCGGGAAACCGGAGCUAAUACCGGAUAAUAUAUUGAACCGCAUGGUUCAAUAGUGAAAGACGGUUUUGCUGUCACUUAUAGAUGGAUCCGCGCCGCAUUAGCUAGUCGGUAAGGUAACGGCUUACCAAGGCAACGAUGCGUAGCCGACCUGAGAGGGUGAUCGGCCACACUGGAACUGAGACACGGUCCAGACUCCUACGGGAGGCAGCAGUAGGGAAUCUUCCGCAAUGGGCGAAAGCUUGACGGAGCAACGCCGCGUGAGUGAUGAAGGUCUUCGGAUCGUAAAACUCUGUUAUUAGGGAAGAACAAAUGUGUAAGUAACUAUGCACGUCUUGACGGUACCUAAUCAGAAAGCCACGGCUAACUACGUG
rnacentral:rRNA from 1 species